rnacentral:tRNA from 1 species
GGAUUGUGGCUCAGUGGCAGAGUUCUUGCCUUGCACAUGUGAGGCACUGGGUUCAAUCCUCAGCACCA